AUCCAGCUGAAGAGUCCCAAAUAGGACGAAAUGUGCAUCCUGGAU
rnacentral:hammerhead_ribozyme from 1 species